AUUCAUUUGUAGUUCAUAAGCAUGAUGAUUGGAUGUUCAUGCUGUUUUGUGACAUGUGUCUCCCUCAAACCUUGCUGCAGCCUUGGCACAUUAUCUGUCUAUCA
ensembl:snoRNA